AUUGAACGCUGGCGGCAGGCCUAACACAUGCAAGUCGAGCGAGCGGCGGACGGGUGAGUAAUGUCUGGGAAACUGCCUGAUGGAGGGGGAUAACUACUGGAAACGGUAGCUAAUACCGCAUACCAUCAGAUGUGCCCAGAUGGGAUUAGCUAGUAGGUGGGGUAACGGUGCACGUAGGCGACGAUACCUAGCUGGUCUGAGAGGAUGACCAGCCACACUGGAACUGUGACACGGUCCAGAGUCGUAAGGGCGGCAGCAGUGGGGAAUAUUGCACAAGGGUCGCAAGUCUGAUGCAGCCAUGCCGCGUGUUUGAAGAAGACCUUCGGGUUGUAAAGCUCUAUCAGCGGGGAGGCGUUACCCGCAGAAGAAGCACCGGCUAACUCCGUGCCAGCAGCCGCGGUAAUAC
rnacentral:rRNA from 1 species